GAGGCUGUAGCUCAGUGGUAGAGUGCUUGCCUAGCAAGCAUGAGGCCCUGGGUUCAAUCCCCAGUACUGCCUCA